GAAAUGCGAUAAGUAAUGUGAAUUGCAGAAUUCAGUGAAUCAUCGAAUCUUUGAACGCACCUUGCGCUCCUUGGUAUUCCUUGGAGCAUGCCUGUUUGAGUAUCAUGAAAUCUUCAAAGUAAAUCUUUUGUUAACUCAAUUGGUUUCUACUUUGGUAUUGGAGGUCUUUGCAGCUUCACACCUGCUCCUCUUUGUUCAUUAGCUGGAUCUCAGUGUUAUGCUUGGUUCCACUCGGCGUGAUAAGUUAGCUAUCGCUGAGGACACUGUAAAAGGUGGCCAAGGUAAAUGCAGAUGAACCGCUUCUAAUAGUCCAUUGACUUGGACAAUACUUUUAUGAUCUGAUCUCAAAUCAGGUAGGACUACCCGCUGAACUUAAGC
rnacentral:misc_RNA from 1 species